UACAGAGAAAGCAAGCGUUAUUCGGAAUUAUUGGGCGUAAAGGGCGCGUAGACGGCUUUGCAAGUGACGGGUGAAAUCCCUCGGCUUAACCGAGGAACUGCCUGUCAAACUGCAUGGCUUGAGACCGGGAGAGGUGAGUGGAAUUCCCAGUGUAGCGGUGAAAUGCGUAGAUAUUGGGAGGAACACCAGUGGCGAAGGCGACUCACUGGACCGGUACUGACGCUGAUGCGCGAAAGCGUGGGGAGCAAACAGG
rnacentral:rRNA from 1 species